rnacentral:rRNA from 1 species
AGAGUUUGAUCCUGGCUCAGAUUGAACGCUGGCGGCAUGCCUUACACAUGCAAGUCGAACGGCAGCACGGGCUUCGGCCUGGUGGCGAGUGGCGAACGGGUGAGUAAUACAUCGGAACGUGUCCUGGAGUGGGGGAUAGCCCGGCGAAAGCCGGAUUAAUACCGCAUACGCUCUAUGGAGGAAAGCGGGGGCUCGCAAGA